rnacentral:tRNA from 1 species
CGGGUCGUAGCGCAGCGGUCGUCGCGCCCGAUUGCUCAUCGGGAGGACGCCGGUUCGAUCCCGGCCGACCCGC